CAAAUGUUUGUUGCGACAUUGCGCGGCUCUAGAACUGUUGGUUAGUUUUCGCAUCUUGCGAUCAGUUUCCCCCGUGAGGUCCAAGUAGUUGCAUUCAUAGUCGUGCAGGGAAGGGUCAUCCUGUCCAAGCAGGUGCCAUUCGCCAGAUUCAAGUGUCAAUUUGUUAGCUGAUUUUAUUGGAGCCAUUUACAACCGGCGGCAGCGCUUAAGCAAAAAGAUAUCAAGUCAGGGAUCAUCCUUGGCUUUGUAGUAACGUUCGCAGCUGUAGAUCAAAUAUAUUCUAAAGGUCCAUCAUCACCAUUCUCGGCUGCGCUAUUGAAUGUCAUGUGUGUGUGAUUUUGUGCCAAUAAUGGGAUAUAAUCGUCGAUGGCGAUGCUGACCGAAGUUUCGUCAGUUGCAACGUAAAUCGUGCUGUCGUUUUGUGGAUUACUAGGUAUGACAACCCUUUGACUGUCCUACAGGUUUUUUAUGCGGAGUACAUAUCCUACCCACUUCCGGCGCCACUGCUCCACAACAAUAUUGUUCUGUGGCCGAAGAAGCGAAGGAGCAGGGCAUCAACAAUCUAACAUAUCGAGUGUAGCAGGUUCAGGAAAAAAGUACCAUGACUAGGACCGUCCAGGAAUCGAACCCAGAUGCCUUCAGCUAGACUUAGUUUAUGCUCAUGAAAGUUUCUCAAGUCUAAAGAAGGAUAAACAUAAUUGUGCAUAUGGAAUCUAUUAUUUAUAAAUGAAUUGAACCUCUUUUAUAGAACAUACCACAUAGUUGUUUUCCAGUAUUUGACAAGGGAGUCAAGUAAUUCUGAAAAAAAAUUGUUUUAACAAAGUGAACCCAACUUUUUUGCAAUAGGUACUUGUUCAUAUAUCAUUGAAUAAAAACAAGAAAUUUGUAGUGAAAUUGUUGCAACAAUUGCAGUAAUCAGGAUUACUCAUCCUGAUAGGUAAUAUUCAAUUAUAAUGAUGAUUUACUUAAGCUACAUAAACUUCAACUAGAA